rnacentral:rRNA from 1 species
GAUGAACGCUGGCGGCGUGCCUAAUACAUGCAAGUCGAGCGAACGGACGAGAAGCUUGCUUCUCUGAUGUUAGCGGCGGACGGGUGAGUAACACGUGGAUAACCUACCUAUAAGACUGGGAUAACUUCGGGAAACCGGAGCUAAUACCGGAUAAUAUUUUGAACCGCAUGGUUCAAAAGUGAAAGACGGUCUUGCUGUCACUUAUAGAUGGAUCCGCGCUGCAUUAGCUAGUUGGUAAGGUAACGGCUUACCAAGGCAACGAUGCAUAGCCGACCUGAGAGGGGGAACGGCCACACUGGAACUGAGACACGGUCCAGACUCCCACGGGAGGCAGCAGUAGGGAAUCUUCCGGGAUGGGCGAAAGCCUGAGGGAGCAACCCCGGGUGAGUGAAGAAGGUCUUCGGAUCGUAAAACUCUUUUAUUAGGGAAGAACAAUUGUGUAAGUAACUGUGCACAUCUUGACGGUACCUAAUCAGAAAGCCACGGCUAACUACGU